UCUCGAUUGGUCUAGUGGUAAGGAUACCUGCUUGUCAAGUGUUGGUCGAACUCUGCUUGAGUACGGGCAACGCCAGCCUCGCUGGAGGCAAUACGCAGGUGGCCGGGGUUCGAUUCCCCGAUCGAGAG